AUGAACGCUGGCGGCGUGCCUAAUACAUGCAAGUCGAGCGCACGGACGAGAAGCUUGCUUCUCUGAUGUUAGCGGCGGACGGGUGAGUAACACGUGGAUAACCUACCUAUAAGACUGGGAUAACUUCGGGAAACCGUAGCUAAUACCGGAUAAUAUUUUGAACCGCAUGGUUCAAAAGUGAAAGACGGUCUUGCUGUCACUUAUAGAUGGAUCCGCGCUGCAUUAGCUAGUUGGUAAGGUAACGGCUUACCAAGGCAACGAUGCAUAGCCGACCUGAGAGGGUGAUCGGCCACACUGGAACUGAGACACGGUCCAGACUCCUAAGGGAGGCAGCAGUAGGGAAUCUUCCGCAAUGGGCGAAAGCCUGACGGAGCAACGCCGCGUGAGUGAUGAAGGUCUUCGGAUCGUAAAACUCUGUUAUUAGGGAAGAACAUAUGUGUAAGUAACUGUGCACAUCUUGACGGUACCUAAUCAGAAAGCCACGGCUAACUACGUG
rnacentral:rRNA from 1 species